GACGUAGGGCGCGAGCGUUGUCCGGAUUUAUUGGGCGUAAAGAGCUCGUAGGCGGCUUGUUGCGUCGACUGUGAAAACCCGCGGCUUAACUGCGGGCUUGCAGUUGAUACGGGCAGGCUAGAGUUCGGUAGGGGAGACUGGAAUUCCUGGUGUAGCGGUGAAAUGCGCAGAUAUCAGGAGGAACACCAGUAGCGAAGGCGGCACUCUGGGCCGGUACUGACGCUGAGGAGCGAAAGCGUGGGGAGCGAACAGG
rnacentral:rRNA from 1 species